UGGGGAAUAUUGGACAAUGGGCGCAAGCCUGAUCCAGCAAUGCCGCGUGUGUGAAGAAGGCCUUCGGGUUGUAAAGCACUUUUAUCAGGAGCGAAACGCUGUCGGCUAAUACCCGGCGGAACUGACGGUACCUGAGGAAUAAGCACCGGCUAACUUCGUGCCAGCAGCCGCGGUAAUACGAAGGGUGCAAGCGUUAAUCGGAAUUACUGGGCGUAAAGCGUGCGUAGGCGGUUUCUUAAGUCUGCUGUGAAAUCCCCGGGCUCAACCUGGGAAUGGCAGUGGAUACUGGGAGGCUAGAGUGUGUCAGAGGGUGGUGGAAUUCCCGGUGUAGCGGUGAAAUGCGUAGAGUCGGGAGGAACAUCAGUGGCGAAGGCGGCCACCUGGGACAACACUGACGCUGAGGCACGAAAGCGUGGGGAGCAAACAGGAUUAGAUACCCUGGUAGUCCACGCCCUAAAGCGAUGCGAACUGGAUGUUGGUCUCAACUCGGAGAUCAGUGUCGAAGCUAACGCGUUAAGUUCG
rnacentral:rRNA from 1 species